rnacentral:rRNA from 1 species
AAUAGAUACCCGGUAGUCCACGCCGUAAACGAUGAGUGCUAAGUGUUAGGGGGUUUCCGCCCCUUAGUGCUGCAGCUAACGCAUUAAGCACUCCGCCUGGGGAGUACGGUCGCAAGACUGAAACUCAAAGGAAUUGACGGGGGCCCGCACAAGCGGUGGAGCAUGUGGUUUAAUUCGAAGCAACGCGAAGAACUUUACCAGGUCUUGACAUCCCACUGACCGCUAUGGAGACAUAGUUUUCCCUUCGGGGACAGUGGUGACAGGUGGUGCAUGGUUGUCGUCAGCUCGUGUCGUGAGAUGUUGGGUUAAGUCCCGCAACGAGCGCAACCCUUGAUCUUAGUUGCCAUCAUUUAGUUGGGCACUCUAAGGUGACUGCCGGUGACAAACCGGAGGAAGGUGGGGAUGACGUCAAAUCAUCAUGCCCCUUAUGACCUGGGCUACACACGUGCUACAAUGGACGGUACAAACGGUUGCCAACCCGCGAGGGGAGCUAAUCCGAUAAAAUCGUUCUCAGUUCGGAUUGUAGGCUGCAACUCGCCUAC